rnacentral:rRNA from 1 species
UACGUAGGUGGCAAGCGUUGUCCGGAUUUACUGGGUGUAAAGGGCGUGCAGCCGGGUGCGCAAGUCAGAUGUGAAAUCUCAGGGCUCAACCCUGAAACUGCAUUUGAAACUGUGCAUCUUGAGUGCCGGAGAGGUAAUCGGAAUUCCUUGUGUAGCGGUGAAAUGCGUAGAUAUAAGGAAGAACACCAGUGGCGAAGGCGGAUUACUGGACGGUAACUGACGGUGAGGCGCGAAAGCGUGGGGAGCAAACAGG